rnacentral:rRNA from 1 species
UGCGCGGCUCACCAUGCAGUCGAGCGGAGAGAGGUAGCUUGCUACUGAUCUUAGCGGCGGACGGGUGAGUAAUGCUUAGGAAUCUGCCUAUUAGUGGGGGACAACAUUUCGAAAGGAAUGCUAAUACCGCAUACGUCCUACGGGAGAAAGCAGGGGAUCUUCGGACCUUGCGCUAAUAGAUGAGCCUAAGUCGGAUUAGCUAGUUGGUGGGGUAAAGGCCUACCAAGGCGACGAUCUGUAGCGGGUCUGAGAGGAUGAUCCGCCACACUGGGACUGAGACACGGCCCAGACUCCUACGGGAGGCAGCAGUGGGGAAUAUUGGACAAUGGGCGCAAGCCUGAUCCAGCCAUGCCGCGUGUGUGAAGAAGGCCUUAUGGUUGUAAAGCACUUUAAGCGAGGAGGAGGCUACUUUAGUUAAUACCUAGAGAUAGUGGACGUUACUCGCAGAAUAAGCACCGGCUAACUCUGUGCCAGCAGCCGCGGUAAUACAGAGGGUGCAAGCGUUAAUCGGAUUUACUGGGCGUAAAGCGCGCGUAGGCGGCUAAUUAAGUCAAAUGUGAAAUCCCCGAGCUUAACUUGGGAAUUGCAUUCGAUACUGGUUAGCUAGAGUGUGGGAGAGGAUGGUAGAAUUCCAGGUGUAGCGGUGAAAUGCGUAGAGAUCUGGAGGAAUACCGAUGGCGAAGGCAGCCAUCUGGCCUAACACUGACGCUGAGGUGCGAAAGCAUGGGGAGCAAACAGGAUUAGAUACCCUGGUAGUCCAUGCCGUAAACGAUGUCUACUAGCCGUUGGGGCCUUUGAGGCUUUAGUGGCGCAGCUAACGCGAUAAGUAGACCGCCUGGGGAGUACGGUCGCAAGACUAAAACUCAAAUGAAUUGACGGGGGCCCGCACAAGCGGUGGAGCAUGUGGUUUAAUUCGAUGCAACGCGAAGAACCUUACCUGGCCUUGACAUAGUAAGAACUUUCCAGAGAUGGAUUGGUGCCUUCGGGAACUUACAUACAGGUGCUGCAUGGCUGUCGUCAGCUCGUGUCGUGAGAUGUGGGUUAAGUCCGCAACGAGCGCAACCCUUUUCCUUAUUUUGCAAGCGAGUAAUGUCGGGAACUUUAAGGGA